GAAGUGCCUGGAGUACUACUCAGAAGAAAAAAACAGAAAGAAAAAAGAAGGUGCCAAAGACAAUGUCUUCUUUUGGAACUUAUUCUCCGUGGCCCUAAUGAUGGUUAACUGCAGAAAGCCAGAAAAAUGUUACUGCCCUGUGUGAUGGCCACAGUGACGGUGGCAACAGGCAAGGAGAGCAUAGUUGAUUGGGAGUGGUGGCGCUGUGUUUUAUAAACUGGCCUUUCAAAUAGGUUCUCUGCCUGGAUUCAUCUGAGUGGGAAUGAAGAGUGUCUCGGAGACAGUCUGUACACGAGGCGCAGUGUUGCCCCCAAACAAGGUGGAAGAGUCACUGGGAAACCAAAGCGUCCAUGAGGAGUUAGUAGAGGCCAGCAGAGGGCAUGGGGCUGUGGCAGACCAGGAGUGAGUGAUACACCGUGAGUGACUGACACUAGCUUGAUUGUGCAGGGGACACCACAUGAGGCAGCAGAUGUGCUGCUAGGUUUCUGAGUUUUAUCUUACAAAGGCAGUUCCAAGCUUUAUUCUCCCAAUCUUCUUUAUAAAAAUAAUGACCUUCCAAUGAAUGCCAUCUGAUUUCUAGCAACAUAUCUUUUAAUGGUAUGUCAU